AUUUCUUAUUUCCACCUCAUAAAAAAUCAGAGGAUUUUUUCUUGAUUGUUUUGAUUGACCCCUUGUGGCCAAUCUGUUUUCCCUCGACGUCAUCUACGCAUCCUAUUAUGCAUUUUCCUCCUGCGAAUAAGCCAACAACUGAUUUCCGUUUUGUCCUUUGUCCUGCCGCCCCUGCCAGGACUCCGAGUUCCUCUGCUCGUAUAGUACAAGAGAUAUCUGUGGUGGGGAGCUGGAAAUACGAUCUCGCCUCCUGCGCCGCACUUCAUCCUGCGCGCUUCGUGAGCUCGCUUGUGCUUUUGACUUUCUGACGUUCAGUGUUGUUUAUUCGAGACUGGGUUGUUCUUGCCUGGAUUCUAUCGCCUGCGUAUACACGCGUACAAAAAGGCA